rnacentral:rRNA from 1 species
CCUACGGGUGGCAGCAGUGGGGAAUAUUGGACAAUGGGCGAAAGCCUGAUCCAGCCAUGCCGCGUGUGUGAAGAAGGCCUUCGGGUUGUAAAGCACUUUCAGUGGGGAAGAAAGCCUUGGGGCUAAUACCCUCGAGGAAGGACAUCACCCACAGAAGAAGCACCGGCUAACUCCGUGCCAGCAGCCGCGGUAAUACGGAGGGUGCGAGCGUUAAUCGGAAUUACUGGGCGUAAAGCGCGCGUAGGCGGUCUGAUAAGCCGGUUGUGAAAGCCCCGGGCUCAACCUGGGAACGGCAUCCGGAACGGUAAGGCUAGAGUGCAGGAGAGGAAGGUAGAAUUCCCGGUGUAGCGGUGAAAUGCGUAGAGAUCGGGAGGAAUACCAGUGGCGAAGGCGGCCUUCUGGACUGACACUGACGCUGAGGUGCGAAAGCGUGGGUAGCAAACAGGAUUAGAUACCCGGGUAGUC